UACGUAGGUGGCGAGCGUUAUCCGGAAUCAUUGGGCGUAAAGAGGGAGCAGGCGGCAGUGCAGGUCUGCGGUGAAAGCCCGAAGCUAAACUUCGGUAAGCCGUGGAAACCGCACAGCUAGAGAGCAUCAGAGGAUCGCGGAAUUCCAUGUGUAGCGGUGAAAUGCGUAGAUAUAUGGAGGAACACCAGUGGCGAAGGCGGCGGUCUGGGGUGCAGCUGACGCUCAGUCCCGAAAGCGUGGGGAGCAAAUAG
rnacentral:rRNA from 1 species